AAAAGGUUUAUUCAGCUUACACUUCCACAUUGCUGCUCAUCAUGGAAGGAAGUCAGGACUGGAACUCAAACAGGGGAGGAACCUGGAGGCAGAAGCUAAUGUAGAGGCCGUGGAGGGAUGUUACUUACUGGCUUGUUUCCCCUGCUUUGCUCAGCUUGCUCUCUUAUAGAAUCUAGGGCCACCAGCCCAGGGACUGCUCACUGAUCACUCGUUGAGAAAAUGCCUCACAGCUGGGUCUCAUGGAGGCAUUUCCUCAACUGAGGCUCCUUUCUCUGUGCUAACUCUGGCUUGUGUCAAGUUGACACACAAAACCAGCCAGUAGGCAGGGACAUCUCUGCAUAUAGCCCUGGGAUCUCCGGUGACAUUUUUGGACUGUGAAUUGGAAGUCUUAAUUCUUCCCUGACUGACUGGCUGGAGAAACAGCUCUACUCAGUAGGAGAUGAUUGCCGCCACGGUGGAUCGACUGUUUGAAGGGGUAAUAUAGCAUUGAUGAAGGUUAACCCAGCAUACAUUGAUGCUCUGUGUGGUUUGCUCAGCUUGCUUUUUUAUAGAACCCAAAACUACCAGCCCAGGGACGUUACCUCCCACUGUGGGCUGGACCCUCCCCUAAUGAUAACUAAUUAAGAAAUUAAAUGCCUUGCAGCUGGAUCUCAUGGAGGCGUUUUCUCAGGUCAAAUUGACAUAAAACUAUCCAGCGCAACACUAAUAUAUUAAAUUUAUCUAGCAUUGCAUUUAUUGUUAAUUAUGGGAGCAAAUUACCUGAGGGAAUCCACCUCAAACAUUCCAUGUGCAAAAAUGAAUAGGAAAUCAUUCGAUAAGGUAUAUUAAAAAUACACAUUUCCACAGGCUGUUCACAGUUUUCAAUCAGCACAGCCUUCCUCUGUCACCCUGGUCCUCAAGCAGUGCGCCCACAGCUGAGUUUCACCCUGACGCUGUGUUAGCUCUCAAUCAGAAGCGCCAGGUUUUCUGUGCCAGAAAAACUUGGCCUUCCUAUGGGCACAGAACAGUAAUCAGAUGCCUGCUGCGACCGCCUCUAAUUCCAAAAUCUAUUAGAGUAGAAUUUACAUUUUGUUUUCAUCUCUUCCCCACUUGGACUAGAUGCAAAAUGGAAAUGACUGGAAAACAGCCCUUGAGAGGCGGAGCAGCAGGAAGCCUCCUCCAUGCGGGCUGUGAUUUCCCUGGUGCACAGGGGUGGGCUCACCCCGUUGCCUCUUGGAAAUGGCCAUUUUCGUUCAGGUAAGUAAAGAAUAAACUAAAGAUGUUGGAACAGAGUUCUUAGCAACAUGGAAGCCAGAGACAAAAAAGCACGCCCUGAGUGGCAGCGACCGGAAGUGGUUCUGCCUCAGCUAGUGAGGACUUCCAUGAGGGAACCUGAGGAUUUCUUGUCUGCUGCUCUUUGAUGCAUGAUGCAUGGGGACUUGCCUUUUGCCACAGUCUCUGGAUCUCCCGUGGGGAUACAUUCCUUGGUGCACAGUCCGAGCUGUACGAGGUUCCUCCCUCACACACUUUUUUUUUCUAGAUUAGAGAAGUGGAGCCAAACUUCCCCCAUGAAAAUCGCAAGCGAAUAAUAAGCUUUGACAGUAACUGCUGGCGUGUCGUUCUGAAGAAAAACAGGCAACACGAUGUUUGCUACUGUGGAAAACGAAUCUCUGAACGCCUGGUCUUGACGCAAAGCCCUACAACAGAAGAUAUGGAACCCUCCGGAACACGCGCUCCAGAAAACCUCUGGCACGGGCUCUGGAAACCCCUACAGGCUUGACUGACUGAUGUAAAGUUAAAAGUAGGAGAAAGAAAAUCACCAAGGUUUCUGCGGCUGGCUCUCUCUCCAGUCCCCGCCCAUCUCUACCACUUGUACCCUCACCACCGCAAAAAGUGUGUCUCUUAUGACCAGGAGGCAGUCAUGUCACACUGGGGUGUAUGCGCAGGGCAAGAGGCACACGUACCUGGCAUCAUUUCUGAGUAACUCCUGUAUUCUGCCCCUCACAUCCUGGUCAUGCUCCUUUAGGCCCUAUAUUCUGUCACAAUAGUGUUCUGGCCAUGGCUGGCCUGGCCGCGGCUACAUCCCUGUUAGGAAAGUAGCCAACAUCCUUGUUACCCAGCUAAGCAAGCAUAGUUGCGUUCACAUUUUGUGGUCCUAGAAAUCUUCAUUCUUAUAUACCCUCCAUGCUCUGGACUCCUUUGAAGUGUGCGUGUGCAAAGGGGCAUUCUCUGUGAGAUAACGAAUCUAGGCGGAAGGUUUUGUUGAGGGAAGGCUAAAAGAAAGCUGUUGCUGGAGUUACAGCAUCAAAGCCUGAGCCCUGACAGCCAGAGAUCUCCGUGACUUACAGAUGACCGCCCUCAGCUCUGCAGCUGAGACUGUUUGAGUGAAGAGGGACCAGAACCCAGAGCCGAGCGUGGCUGGCUGGGCUGCACAUCCAGAUGGCCUGUCUUAGUUAAGACUCUGAUGGAGUCUGCACUCCAUCUGCCUUUUGAAUUAAAUCGCAAGCUCCAGUCUCCCCAAUAGGGGAACAGCUUGUGUUGGCAAACCCUUCUGUGGACAACAAUGAUAAACACCGGAUUAAAAAGAAAACGGCCGUAGAAGACAUCGGAGGACACUGGGAGGCUAGGAGGGUGGUCCCAGAGAGGCCAUGAGCAAAGAGGACCCUGCCGGUCUAAGACACCUGCUCAUCCACCUUCCAUGAAUACCUAUGCUCGCCAACUGAUGGAUCCAAACCAUAAAGAUACACUCGAAGGACUCGAAUAAACCUGAGAAAGGACAAAGUAGAAAGGGGAGGCCUAGAUCCUGGGCUGACCCCUGAACUGUGUGCUUCUGAACAAGACACAACUAGGUGAGAAUAUAUGCAGUACCCAGGGUGAGUCUAAGGGCCAUCUUCCAAGUGGGUUGGUCAACGUCUGUCACUGCAGCAAAACACCUGAGCUGAUCACUUUACAAAGAGAAAUGGCUUGUCUGGGCCACAGCUUGGGAGGUUCUAGUCCUGGGUCAGUUGACCCUGUUGCUUUUGGGUCUAUGACAAGGCAGCAUAUCAUGGUUGGAGCAUGUGGUAUAACCCAUGGCAAACCCUGCAGUCCCCUUCCUUCUGGGCAGCAGUGGAAGGACAAAGACCUUCACCUCUCCAAUAACCUACAGACCUCUCAUGAGGCCACUCCUCUUAAAGAUGUCACCAGCUCCCAACACUGCUGCCCCAUCAGAUCAAGAUGACAGCAGAGUAGACACAACUCAAGGUUGGAUGGACAAGGACCCAAACAAGUUGUGUCUGUCACUAGAUCUUCUGGAGCCUGCGGGAGGGCAACAGACCAGGUCCAUCAGAGAAUCUGUCAGCACCUUAGCUUUUUUUUAGCUUAAAUCAGUAGGGAAACUACCCAGGAGAGAAUAAAAUUCUAAACCAGAGAAGACCAACCGUCCUUGAACAAGUAGGGUGAGUUGGGAAGGUAAGAGCUAUAGUAGUGAAUCUUCAGAAACAUGGGCUUGUGUCUCCAGACACCUAAGAAUCAGCAUGUGACCCACAAGAAGAGCCAUGACUUUGAGGAGCCUCAUCCAAACCACUGUCACCAACCAAGUCAGGUCUGAUCGGUGCUUGGUAGAUAUCCAAUGCCGUCUGCCAAGGGGCACUCUCAUUUAAACGUCUCUCUGAAUAAACAAAGCACAUUUCGGGUUGGAAAUCUCUGCUCGCUCAUUAAGGAGCUCCUGACACAGUCCAAGCACUAUGCUCUCCACAGACUCUGAAAGUGUUUGUUCUCUGUAAAUGCAGAUAGUUCAGUUUUAAGUAUUUGUCUCCUGUAGUAAAGUAAAAAAAAAAAAAAUAAAGUCUAGACUUUC